GGCGAUAUAGUUUUAAAGAAAAACAUUUAUCUCAUACGUAACUAAUAAAGGUUCAAGUCCUUUUGUCGCCC
rnacentral:tRNA from 1 species